rnacentral:ribozyme from 14 species
UUUUUUUUUUUUUUUUUUUUUUUUUUUUUUGAUCCUGAAACGAAACACAGAGGAAG